rnacentral:rRNA from 1 species
UCGAGCGAGCGGAACUAACAGAUUUACUUCGGUAAUGACGUUAGGAAAGCGAGCGGCGGAUGGGUGAGUAACACGUGGGGAAUCUGCCCCAUAGUCUGGGAUACCACUUGGAAACAGGUGCUAAUACCGGAUAAGAAAGCAGAUCGCAUGAUCAGCUUUUAAAAGGCGGCGUAGGCUGUCGCUAUGGGAUGGCCCCGCGGUGCAUUAGCUAGUUGGUAAGGUAAAGGCUUACCAAGGCGAUGAUGCAUAGCCGAGUUGAGAGACUGAUCGGCCACAUUGGGACUGAGACACGGCCCAAACUCCUACGGGAGGCAGCAGUAGGGAAUCUUCCACAAUGGACGCAAGUCUGAUGGAGCAACGCCGCGUGAGUGAAGAAGGUUUUCGGAUCGUAAAGCUCUGUUGUUGGUGAAGAAGGAUAGAGGUAGUAACUGGCCUUUAUUUGACGGUAAUCAACCAGAAAGUCACGGCUAACUACGUGCCAGCAGCCGCGGUAAUACGUAGGUGGCAAGCGUUGUCCGGAUUUAUUGGGCGUAAAGCGAGCGCAGGCGGAAGAAUAAGUCUGAUGUGAAAGCCCUCGGCUUAACCGAGGAACUGCAUCGGAAACUGUUUUUCUUGAGUGCAGAAGAGGAGAGUGGAACUCCAUGUGUAGCGGUGGAAUGCGUAGAUAUAUGGAAGAACACCAGUGGCGAAGGCGGCUCUCUGGUCUGCAACUGACGCUGAGGCUCGAAAGCAUGGGUAGCGAACAGGAUUAGAUACCCUGGUAGUCCAUGCCGUANACGAUGAGUGCUAAGUGUUGGGAGGUUUCCGCCUCUCAGUGCUGCAGCUAACGCAUUAAGC